rnacentral:rRNA from 1 species
UACGAAGGGGGCUAGCGUUGUUCGGAAUUACUGGGCGUAAAGCGCACGUAGGCGGGUUAUUAAGUUAGGGGUGAAAUCCCGGAGCUCAACUCCGGAACUGCCUUUGAUACUGGUAAUCUAGAGAUCGGAAGAGGUUAGUGGAAUUCCCAGUGUAGAGGUGAAAUUCGUAGAUAUUCGGAAGAACACCAGUGGCGAAGGCGACUUACUGGACACAUAUUGACGCUGAGGUGCGAAAGCGUGGGGAGCAAACAGG